rnacentral:misc_RNA from 1 species
UCAAACUUGGUCAUUUAGAGGAAGUAAAAGUCGUAACAAGGUUUCCGUAGGUGAACCUGCGGAAGGAUCAUUAAAGAUUCUGGCCUCGCGCCAAAACUCUUCAGCUGUGCGCUCAGGCUGCACGCUGUCGAAUCUCACACACCUGUGCACUUUUUCGGUUGCGGCCUCACGGGGUCGCUUCCGCUUUACAUCUAACAACCGUCCCGCAUGUCUAAUACCAUAAAGUAACAACUUUCAACAACGGAUCUCUUGGCUCUCGCAUCGAUGAAGAACGCAGC